AAUGAACGUUGGCGGCGUGGAUUAGGCAUGCAAGUCGAGCGCGAACCGUAGCAAUACGGGGAGAGCGGCGAAAGGGAGAGUAAUACGUGGAUACCUGCCCUCGGGUUCGGGAUAGCUACGGGAAACUGUAGGUAAUACCGAAUAACAUCUUCGGAUCAAAGGUGUGAUUCCGCCCGGGGAGGGGUCCGCGUCCUAUUAGCUAGUUGGUAAGGUAACGGCCCACCAAGGCGAAGAUGGGUAUGGGGUGUGAGAGCAUGACCCCACUCACUGGGACUGAGACACUGCCCAGACACCUACGGGUGGCUGCAGUCGAGAAUCUUCGGCAAUGGGGGAAACCCUGACCGAGCGACGCCGCGUGCGAGAUGAAGGCCUUCGGGUUGUAAAUCGCUGUCAGAGGGGAGGAAAUGCCGGGAAGUAAUUCAUAAUCAACUCGGCUUGACCUAGCCUCAGAGGAAGGACGGGCUAAGUUCGUGCCAGCAGCCGCCGUAA
rnacentral:rRNA from 1 species